UACAGUGGUGCCUCGCAAGACGAAAAGAAUCCGUUCUGGGAGUCUCUUCGUCUAGCGGUUUUUUCGUCUUGCGAAGCAAGCCCAUUGAUGGGAUUAGCGGAUUAGCGCUAUUAGCGCUAUUAGCGGCUUUUAGCGGCUUUUAGCGGCUUUUAGCAGCUUAUCAGCUUAUCGGAUAAGCAGAUAAGCGGCUUAGCGACUUAG